rnacentral:rRNA from 1 species
CCCUUAGAUGUUCUGGGCCGCACGCGCGCUACACUGACGGAUUCAACGAGCUUACAACCUUGGCCGAAAGGUCUGGGUAAUCUCCAAAAUCCGUCGUGAUGGGGAUAGAUUAUUGCAAUUAUUAAUCUUCAACGAGGAAUGCCUAGUAAGCGCAAGUCAUCAGCUUGCGUUGAUUACGUCCCUGCCCUUUGUACACACCGCCCGUCGCUCCUACCGAUCGAAGAGUUAGGUGAAUUGUUUUGAUCGAUAAGAUUUGACUAUGGUCAACUCUCGUUGUGAAAUUCUGUGAAUCUGACUGUUUAGAGGAAGGAAAAGUCGUAACA